CCUGCCACCUGAAGCUAGGCAACUUGAGGUAAUAUUCAGAGAAAAACUGCCACAAUGGCCCUAGACAAUCUUCAUGCCUGCAGCUGUAUGGGCUAUUCAGAAAGAUCACCAGAUACCUACAGAUGUGCUUUUAUACCACCUGAAUCCUGGAGACUUAUUAAAGACUUAGAAGAGCAAGCACCCAGAGAACCAAAUCCAACUUUGUUGGACAAUACUUUUAUGAGGUGCUGUUAACUACCAAUUCUUCAGUGAAAUCAUAAGGGAUUUAAGCUGUGGAUUCAUCACACUGAAGUUACAAAGAAUCCACAGGUUCCCUAUACCUUGUCAGCAAGGAGAACAUCAACAAGAACACUGGUUGGACCAACAAGCCUCUGAGGGACCUAGAACUAUUUGGGAGAAUUGAUCCAAAGAAAUCCAUCCGGAGACACAGAAUCUGAAGCAGGCUCCGAGGCUGUCAGCACAGAGUC